ACGGGAGGCAGCAGUGGGGAAUCUUCCGCAAUGGGCGCAAACCUGACGGAGCAACGCCGCGUGAAUGAAGAAGGUCUUCGGAUCGUAAAGUUCUGUUGAUAGGGACGAGAGAUGAUUUCAGGAAAUGGGAGUCAGAGGACGGUACCUAUCGAGGAAGCCACGGCUAACUACGUGCCAGCAGCCGAGGUAAUACGUAGGUGGCGAGCGUUGUCCGGAAUUAUUGGGCGUAAAGGGAGCGCAGGUGGGACUUCAAGUCAGUCUUAAAAGUGCGGGGCUCAACCCCAUGAUGGGAUGUAAACUGUAGUUCUUGAGUGCAGGAGAUGAAAGCGGAAUUCCUAGUGUAGCGGUGAAAUGCGUAUAUAUUAGGAGGAACACCAGUGGCGAAGGCGGCUUUCUGGACUGUAACUGACACUGGGGCUCGAAAGCGUGGGGAGCGAACAGGAUUAGAUACCCUGGUA
rnacentral:rRNA from 1 species